CUUCACUGGUCUCAUGGAAGAAGCUGCUUCUGGUAAAAGUUCUUUUCAAUUAGUUUCUAGUGUCAAAAGAAGUUUGAACGAUAGCGAAGAUGGAGGAAAGACAAAUGCUUUUGAUACUGAGUUGAGUGGGGAUUGCAUAAAUGAGAGAGACACCGGUGAUCAUUCCAAACUAAGUUUGUCUCUGCCAGAAAGCACUGAAAACGAUGCUGGGGGGUCAAGUAUAAGAAGUCUGAGCGCAAUGCCUUUCUUGAAAAGAAAACGGAGAAAGAUUUGAAAACUACCCAGAAUUUAGGAUGAACCGGAUGUAUUU
rnacentral:misc_RNA from 1 species